rnacentral:tRNA from 1 species
GCCCGUCUAGCUCAAUCGGAUAGAGCGUCAGACUCUUAAUCUGAAGGUUGUGAGUUCGGCCCUCACGGUGGGUU